rnacentral:rRNA from 1 species
UACGUAGGGUGCAAGCGUUAAUCGGAAUUACUGGGCGUAAAGCGUGCGCAGGCGGUUGUGUAAGACAGGUGUGAAAUCCCCGGGCUUAACCUGGGAAUUGCAUUUGUGACUGCACGGCUAGAGUUUGGCAGAGGGGGGUAGAAUUCCACGUGUAGCAGUGAAAUGCGUAGAUAUGUGGAGGAAUACCGAUGGCGAAGGCAGCCCCCUGGGUCAAGACUGACGCUCAUGCACGAAAGCGUGGGGAGCAAACAGG